UACGCGAAGUACCUUUCUGUGGCCCGCCCCCUGGCCCGCUGACCCUUUCGCUGCCCGCCUGCCCUCAGCUCGUGUCGUGAGAUGUUGGGUUCCUCCCGUACCGAGCGCAACCCUUAUCCUUACUUGCCAGCGGGUAAUGCCGGGAACUCUAGGGAGACUGCCGGUGAUAAACCGGAGGAAGGUGGGGACGACGUCAAGUCAUCAUGGCCCUUAUGGGUAGGGCUACACACGUGCUACAAUGGUCGGUACAGAGGGCAGCAAACUCGCGAGAGCCAGCAAAUCCCAAAAAGCCGAUCGUAGUCCGGAUUGCAGUCUGCAACUCGACUGCAUGAAGUCGGAAUCGCUAGUAAUCGCAGAUCAAAAUGCUGCGGUGAAUACGUUCCCGGGCCUUGUAC
rnacentral:rRNA from 1 species